rnacentral:rRNA from 1 species
GAUGAACGCUGGCGGCGUGCUUAACACAUGCAAGUCGAACGGGAAACCUUUUAUUGAAGCUUCGGCAGAUUUAGCUGGUUUCUAGUGGCGGACGGGUGAGUAACGCGUGGGUACCCUGCCUUAUACAGGGGGAUAACAACCAGAAAUGGUUGCUAAUACCGCAUAAGCGCACAGGACCGCAUGGUCCGGUGUGAAAAACUCCGGUGGUAUAAGAUGGGCCCGCGUUGGAUUAGCUAGUUGGCAGGGUAACGGCCUACCAAGGCGACGAUCCAUAGCCGGCCUGAGAGGGUGAACGGCCACAUUGGGACUGAGACACGGCCCAGACUCCUACGGGAAGCAGCAGUGGGGAAUAUUGCACAAUGGGGGAAACCCUGAUGCAGCGACGCCGCGUGAAGGAAGAAGUAUCUCGGUAUGUAAACUUCUAUCAGCAGGGAAGAUAGUGACGGUACCUGACGAAGAAGCCCCGGCUAACUACGUG